GGACAGUUGCCUGAAAGGUUAAAGGAGCAGUUUGCUAAACUGUGGAGGUAAAACUCUUAUCGGUUCGAGUCCGAUACUGUCCG
rnacentral:tRNA from 1 species